AUGUUGUUGGAGAACAGACGUGGUGGUGGGGGUAGCCACGUCGGUGGAGAAGCGGCGAGUGGCGGCGCGGGAGAGGAGAUCUGGUUCGGGAUGGAGGAAACAGGAGCGGAGAUCAGAGAAUUUCUACGGUGGGAGCUCGGUGAUGGUUUUGGAACUGAGGUUAACGAUUCAGUAACGGAAGGAAAUGGAGGAAAGAGUAACGGUGAGGAUGAUGUCAAAGCUUUAAGGGAUUACAUAUGCAACAUCAACAAGUUUUGA